GGUUGGUGCAAAAGUAACUGCGGUUUUUGCCAUUGAACAUAAUGGCAAAAAACUCAAUAACUUUUGCAC
ensembl:miRNA